CUUGAGGACCAACAGCCUGCACCGACUGGCCAGCAAGAAAGGACUGAGGACUGACUGACCGGAGAAGCAUCCACAUAAUCAGAGGUGGUCUUGACCAGGUCUUUCAUUACGAAGUGAGAUAACUGUCAUCAAAAUGAAGAGUUUCUACCUGUUGCUGGCCUUGUGCCUGGUGAUGGCUUUUGUUGCUAAGGACGCCGACGCGGCCAGCCUGGCGCUUGCCAGCAAGGAGGACGCCGAGCUGGAAAAGAGGAUCUGGCCGGCUUUGAUUGGACUUGCUGCACGGGGCGCAUAUCACUGGUGGAGAAACAGACAGGGUAAAAAAUAAAGACAAGAAAUGACAAGAGAUAUUUCAAAUGAUCCACAGCAGGAGGCAGGUCACGUGGGGCACCGCUGCUGACUGGCAUCUCGUCAUUUCACCUUUGACCUCUCACAGUUGUCGAAGUCGUCAUUCUGAUAUUUUUCCCUCCCGGCCAAUCCGAGGUUUCUCUUCCCCACGUUUUGAGAAAAUAAAAUAUGGAAAUUUUA